ensembl:snRNA U6 U6 spliceosomal RNA
UGCUUGUUUCCACAGCAAUAUACUAACAUUGGAAUGAUACAGAGAUCAACAUGACCUCUGUGAAAGUAUGACAAACAAAUUCAGGAAGUAUUCCAUAUUUUU